rnacentral:tRNA from 1 species
GGGCGUGUAGCUCAGUUGGUUAGAGCGCGCGCUUGAUAAGCGUGAGGUCGGAGGUUCAAGUCCUCCCUCGCCCA